GAUGAACGCUGGCGGCGUGCCUAAUACAUGCCAGUCGAGCGAACGGACGAGAAGCUUGCUUCUCUAAUGUUAGCGGCGGACGGGUGAGUAACACGUGGAUAACCUACCUAUAAGACUGGGAUAACUUCGGGAAACCGUAGCUAAUACCGGAUAAUAUUUUGAACCGCAUGGUUCAAAAGUGAAAGACGGUCUUGCUGUCACUUAUAGAUGGAUCCGCGCUGCAUUAGCUAGUUGGUAAGGUAACGGCUUACCAAGGCAACGAUGCAUAGCCGACCUGAGAGGGUGAUCGGCCACACUGGAACUGAGACACGGUCCAGACUCCUACGGGAGGCAGCAGUAGGGAAUCUUCCACAAUGGGCGAAAGCCUGACGGAGCAACGCCGCGUGAGUGAUGAAGGUCUUCGGAUCGUAAAACUCUGUUAUUAGGGAAGAACAUAUGUGGAAGUAACUGUGCACAUCUUGACGGUACCUAAUCAGAAAGCCACGGCUAACUACGUG
rnacentral:rRNA from 1 species